rnacentral:rRNA from 1 species
GACGAACGCUGGCGGCGUGCUUAACACAUGCAAGUCGAACGGAAAGGCCCUGCUUUUGUGGGGUGCUCGAGUGGCGAACGGGUGAGUAACACGUGAGUAACCUGCCCUUGACUUUGGUAUAACUUCAGGAAACUGGGGCUAAUACCGGAUAUGAGCUCCUGCUGCAUGGUGGGGGUUGGAAAGUUUCGGCGGUUGGGGAUGGACUCGCGGCUUAUCAGCUUGUUGGUGGGGUAGUGGCUUACCAAGGCUUUGACGGGUAGCCGGCCUGAGAGGGGGACCGGCCAAAGUGGGACUGAGAUACGGCCGAGAGUCCUACGGGAUGUAGCAGGGGGGAAGAGUGCACAAUGGGGGGAAGCCUGGUGCAGGAACGCCGCGUGAGGGAUGACGGACUGCGGGUUGUAAACCGCUUUCGCAUGUGACGAAGCGUGAGUGACGGUAAUGGGUAAAGAAGCACCGGCUAACUACGUG